UAGUAAAAAUGUUGAGGAGGGUGACGGGCGGUGUGUGCGUGCUUCAUUGCUCAGUUCAAUUGAGCUUUCUAAAUUCAAUUUACUGCUAAAUCCUCCUUAUCCUCUUCAGUUUCAUAAGAGUUUCCGUUGGUUUUCUUUAGGGCAAGAAAAUGUAGCCCAUUUCUUCCCACCUCAUUGGCUACACCUUGACCUAACGAGAUCUGAAGAGCAACACU